UCUCAUUGACCCAAUGGCUUCUUUCGCCUUGCGCGAAAGGCGUUCACUAUGCGACCCCAGGUCAGGCGGGGCUACCCGCUGAGUUUAAGCAUAUC
rnacentral:rRNA from 1 species